rnacentral:misc_RNA from 1 species
UAUCAAAGAAUUCUGUAUUCUUCGUUAGUAUUAGUAUUAUUCAUCGAUUGUUGCAGCGGCAACUCGCAUUAUCGAAUCGAAGCAUUAUCGAUACUUUGCAUGUUUCGAUGUUAAAUCUAACCUCACUUUUGAAGAGUUCGUCUCUUUAAAUGUGGCUUUACCAAAUUGACGGAAAAAUAGGAAAAAGACGUAGAGUAAGGAAAUAAUGUGUAGUGUUUUGUUUAGUUAAAGAUAUAACGUAGUAUUAAAUAAUUAAACUUACGUUACGUAAUCUAAGCAAAGUAUUAUUUUGAAUAACCUAUGUUAUUCCGUGUGGAAAUCGUCUAUCUACGUUUAUACUUUACGUUGUAUUCUUUAUUCAUUACACGUGUUUGUAUACAUUCUUUUUAUUUAAAUAAGAAAAAUGAUGGAACAAUUGCAAACAGCAUUAACAGCUAUUAAAGUGUUACGAUCUAGUGUUGGACAAGUUUUUGAUUCUCUUGCAAAUGGGUUACGAGCCGAUCACGGAGAAGAAAAUAAAGAAUCCAAAUAUUUGUUAGAGUUGCAAGAAUUAUUGACAACGGUUAACGUAAAUUUAAGGGAUGUAGAACAAGCGGUUAGUAGUUUGAAUCCACCACCUGGUCCAUUUAAUUUGGCUAGCACGACUUAUCUUAGUCAGGAAACGACACAGGAAAGACAAGCACUUUAUGGUUCUCUUGUUAAUAGUUAUAAAUGGACAGAUAAAGUCCACGAGUACAGUAAUGCUGCUCAAACAUUAUUGAAUCAGAAUUCGUUAAAGAGAUCUUAUACCAAUACAAGUAGAGCGAAAAGAGGUAGAGUUCAAACUAGUAAUCACAAUGUACCUCCGCAACAAGUGGAUUCCAUGAUAGCAACCUUUGAUCGAUUGUUUAAUGAUAUGACGGUAUCUGUAUCCCGACCAUUUGCAUCAAAUGCAGUAUUACACGUUACAUUAGGACACGUUCUAAAGGCAGUAAUAGCUUUUAAAGGUGUAAUGAUUGAAUGGGUUGUCGUAAAAGGUUAUGGAGAAAGAAUGGAUUUAUGGACAGAAUCGAGGCAUAAAGUUUUUAGAAAAGUAACAGAAAAUGCUCAUGCAGCUAUGUUACAUUUUUAUUCGCCUGCACUUCCUGAAUUAGCUGUACGAUCAUUUAUGACUUGGUUUCAUAGUUUAAUCAAUUUAUUCAGUGAACCAUGCAAACGUUGUGGACUACAUCUACACAGUGCUUUACCUCCAACAUGGAGAGAUUUUCGUACUUUAGAACCAUAUCAUCAGGAAUGUAAACCAUAAUAAUGAAUGAUGUCAAGGUAUUUUUGGUCAUUUUUAUAAGAAGGAAAUAUUUACUAUAGCAUUGACUAUAUAGGGUCCCUUGACACUAUAAUGUUGCACAUUGAAGAAGUAAUUAAUUAAUUCUACAUUAUUGUAAAAAUUCAUAUAUUUAAAUAUAUUUAUUAAUAAAAUUUGAGAAUAUCGUCUUGUUCCUUGUAAAAUGUAUAUAGUCUAUGGGAGGUAAUCGCAGUGUAAGAGAAGAGAGGUAAUAUAUUUCAAAACCUGGAAUAUUAUGCUUCAAACGCUUCUUCUAUCUAUUAUAGUGUGAAUACAAUAAAGGUAUAAAUGAAACAUUUUCACAGAGAAUAUAAGGGCAUUUAUAAAAAGAACUUAAUUAUACAAUACUUAACAAAUGUGAAAUUUGAAAUAGUAAAGUAAUAACAUUGCAAAAUAUAAAUGCAUUUAAUUUGCAAUUUUAAGACGUCUGAUCGUAAUUCGAUCAUUACUUUGAUUUAACCGAAGCCAGAAGAAAGAGCAAAAUGAAUAAUCGUCUGUCUAGAUCAAAGGAGCCUUUAUCAAAAAGAAGAUAAAUAUACUAUUGACAGAUUGGAAUUGGAACUUGGCAUUUUUUUUAGCGGAUAAACACUUACGGCUGUACUAACUUUUAAGUAUAAUAUACAAAUGAGCAGGCA